rnacentral:rRNA from 1 species
UACGUAGGGUGCAAGCGUUGUUCGGAAUCAUUGGGCGUAAAGCGCGUGUAGGCGGUUAGUUAAGUCAAGGGUGAAAUCCCUGGGCUCAACCCAGGAAGUGCACUCGAAACUAACUAGCUAGAAGAUGGUAGAGGAAGGUGGAAUUCCAAGUGUAGAGGUGAAAUUCGUAGAUAUUUGGAGGAAUACCGGUGGCGAAGGCGGCCUUCUGGGCCAUUCUUGACGCUGAGACGCGAAAGCGUGGGUAGCAAACAGG